UGCUUAGGAAUCUGCCUAUUAGUGGGGGACAACAUUCCGAAAGGAAUGCCAAUACCGCAUACGCCUACGGGGAAAGCAGGGGAUCUUCGGACCUUGCGCUAAUAGAUGAGCCUAAGUCAGAUUAGCUAGUUGGUGGGGUAAAGGCCUACCAAGGCGACGAUCUGUAGCGGGUCUGAGAGGAUGAUCCGCCACACUGGGACUGAGACACGGCCCAGACUCCUACGGGAGGCAGCAGUGGGGAAUAUUGCACAAUGGGCGCAAGCCUGAUGCAGCCAUGCCGCGUGUGUGAAGAAGGCCUGG
rnacentral:rRNA from 1 species